rnacentral:ncRNA from 2 species
CCGAGUGUCGGGAAUGGUGUCAAUCCUAAACCACAUCUUGAAGAUGCUGAUGACGCCUUCGGACAC